UACGUAGGGGGCUAGCGUUGUCCGGAAUCAUUGGGCGUAAAGAGCGUGUAGGCGGCCCGAUUAGUCCGCUGUGAAAGUCCAGGGCUCAACCCUGGAAUGCCGGUGGAUACUGUCGGGCUAGAGUCCGGAAGGGGCGAGUGGAAUUCCUGGUGUAGCGGUGAAAUGCGCAGAUAUCAGGAGGAACACCAAUGGCGAAGGCAGCUCGCUGGGACGUGACUGACGCUGAGGUGCGAAAGCGUGGGGAGCAAACAGG
rnacentral:rRNA from 1 species